GAUUCAAGAUGCUAUAGCUCAAAACUUAUGAUGACAUCAUCAGCCUUUUGGAUUACUUAUAGAGCUUCAAGGCUUUUAUGAUGCUUUAGGGAGCAAUCGAUUCAGUGAUAUGCAAAGCCUUCCUAGCUACUCUCCAGAAGGCAAUCUAGAUAUGGUAUGUUAGGUUUCAAUCGAGCUCCAUUUUACUUCUUUGAGAAGCUUAGAAAAAUGUUUGCCGCC
rnacentral:lncRNA from 1 species